UAGGGAAUCUUCGGCAAUGGGGGGAACCCUGACCGAGCAACGCCGCGUGAGUGAAGAAGGUUUUCGGAUCGUAAAGCUCUGUUGUUAAGGAAGAACGAGUGUGAGAAUGGAAAGUUCAUACUGUGACGGUACUUAACCAGAAAGGGACGGCUAACUACGUGCCAGCAGCCGCGGUAAUACGUAGGUCCCGAGCGUUGUCCGGAUUUAGUGGGCGUAAAGCGAGCGCAGGCGGUUAGAUAAGUCUGAAGUUAAAGGCAGUGGCUCAACCAUUGUAGGCUUUGGAAACUGUUUAACUUGAGUGCAGAAGGGGAGAGUGGAAUUCCAUGUGUAGCGGUGAAAUGCGUAGAUAUAUGGAGGAACACCGGUGGCGACAGCGGCUCUCUGGUCUGUAACUGACGCUGAGGCUCGAAAGCGUGGGGAGCGAACAGG
rnacentral:rRNA from 1 species